UUUUUCUUGUAAACAAUUUGCGAUACAUUGAAGUUCCAAAACUUCUGUUCUCGCAUAUUUUCAUAAAGAAUCUGCACCGAGGAUUGUGAGUAACAAUGUUGCGGUUCAACAAGCGGCUGAUAGUUUCCCGAAUAUACGACGGAUUUAAAAAAGAAUGAUAGUUUCUGCAACAUGCGAGCAAAACUUCCUAACUUUUGGAAGUCUGGAGGGUCUUAUCAUUAGUAUGCAUAGUUAACAAAUAGAAAUAUUUAGAUUGACAAUUACGUUCUCUGCUUCGUUGGAAUGCAGUUUCCGCCUAAAAUGUUACUGAAAUCCA